rfam:Aeromicrobium sp. Root472D3 contig_1, whole genome shotgun sequence.
CGAUCGCGCGUGGGAGAGCUCGCCCAGGCGACGCCGAAGGGGCAAUUCCUCCCCGGAACCUCUCAGGCACCAAGGACCACGCGUUCGAG